rnacentral:rRNA from 1 species
GACGAACGCUGGCGGCGUGCCUAAUACAUGCAAGUCGAACGCAGUGGGGACGGGUGAGUAACACGUGGGUAACCUCCCAUCAGAGGGGAUAACACUUGGAAACAGGUGCUAAACCGAUACUGAUGGAUGAACCCGGGGUGCAUUAGCCAGUUGGUGAGGUAACGGCUCACCAAGGCCACGAUGCAUAGCCGACCGGGGAGGGGGAUCGGCCACAGUGGGACGAGGACAGGGCCCAGACACCAACGGAAGGCAGCAGUAGGGAUACUUCGGCAAUGGAGGAAAGUCUGACGGAGAAACGCCGCGUGGGUAGAGAAGGUUUUGGGAUCGAAAAACUGUGUAGUUAGGGAAACGGUAUCUAACCAGAAGGCCACGGCUAACUACGUGCCAGCAGCCGCGGUAAUAC